GGGGGUGAUUGGUCUCGACUUGAGAUGCUGGUCUAUAGGUGGCAUGCCGGGGAAGCUUGGUCGGCCCCGUUAUCAAUCCAAGCAACCAAUAAAAGCAGACUACAACCCUGUAGCUGAAGCCGAGGCGAUUCUUGCCGAGGCGCCUGUCCUCGCUUAAUUAAUUAAGUGAGGCCCUCGGGGAGGAAACUCCUGCGGUCCUUUUCGAGGUCAUGAGCAGGAUAGUCCCGCGCAGCGCUUCCGGGCGCGGGGCGAACCUUUUGGAAGCUGGUCCCGCCAUACUUUGUUUGCCAGGGAAGGCGGGAUGAGAUAUAAAAGACAAACUACGCAUGUAGAGGCUUAUGGGGCAACACCCAAGGACCCGGGUUCGAUCCCCGGCACCUCCACCA
rnacentral:tmRNA from 1 species